UCUCAUUAAGAAAGGUGGAGGGAUCAGGUCCUGUGAAGCCUUGGCAACCGUCCGGAGCAUAAGCUCAUGUUUUGGAAAAGGUGCUACAUCCUGCUCGGCACUCGAAUAUCGGGGACCGGGACAGAUGAG
rnacentral:ncRNA from 1 species